rnacentral:rRNA from 1 species
GCUUACGGCCAUACCAGCCUGGGUACGCCCGAUCUUGUCUGAUCUCGGAAGCUAAGCAGGGUCGGGCCUGGUUAGUACUUUGAUGGGAGACCGCCUGGGAAUACCAGGUGCUGUAAGCA